GAUGAAGAACGUAGCGAACUGCGAUAAGUAAUGUGAAUUGCAGAAUUCAGUGAAUCAUCGAGUCUUUGAACGCACAUUGCGCCCCCUGGCAUUCCGGGGGGCAUGCCUGUCCGAGCGUCAUUGCUGCCCUUCAAGCCCGGCUUGUGUGUUGGGUCGUCGUCCCCCCCGGGGGACGGGCCCGAAAGGCAGCGGCGGCACCGCGUCCGGUCCUCGAGCGUAUGGGGCUUUGUCACCCGCUCGAUUAGGGCCGGCCGGGCGCCAGCCGGCGUCUCCGACCUUCUAUUUUACCAGGUUGACCUCGGAUCAGGUAGGGAUACCCGCUGAACUUAAGCAUAUCAAUAAGCGGAGGA
rnacentral:misc_RNA from 1 species